UAAUGUUCAGUGACUUAAAAAAUUGUUGUUUGUCAAUUUAAUCAUACAACUUAGAUGAAGAGAUUUGGGACUUGAGGCUACAUUUUCAAGGAAUAGAUAAUAUGGAGAAAAAGUAUUCAGUUUCCUCAGAUAUCAGUUAUCUGACCAUAUUAUCAUUGGUUGAGUUGGAUGGCUAUGGCAUGGAUGCAUUUCUGACUUAUGUAAAGAAAGAGGGAAAGGGGCUGGAGGGUGUGGAGGCCCUGGAUAGUGAGGAGGCAUUAGAGUCAAUGCUUGACUUAUUUGUUGAUAAGAAGGUACUGAACAUCAGUGUCAGAAAAGCUACUGAUCCAAGCCCAGCAGAUGAGGAACAGAUCCCCAUUGAUCAUGUUGGUGAACCUGUUGUUUACAGAGUUUCACAAGAAGGUGUUUUGUACCCUGCCUCUAGUGCUAGUUUGCCAGCUUUAACCCCUGAUGAGCCCUACAUGAACACACAGCAAAGCAACAAUUUGAACAAGGGGAAAACAGUCAUGGAAGAAGAAGAUGCAGAAGAAGAAGCAGAUGAAGAAGAAGAAGAUGUACCAGAGGAAGAAGAUGAAGUUGAAGAUGACAAAUCAUCUUCAGAUUUUGAGUUCUUUAGGGGUGAUUACAGAGGGGAGAAGAUUUCUUACAAAGCUUGGUGUAGGGGUGAAGAUGAGGCUGGCACUGAUACUGCAGAGCACUUUUGUGCAGCUAACUUAGAACCUUCUGAGUUUUGGGAGGAAGAACCAAUUGUUUCUGAAGAUGAAGAAGUAGAGGAUCAUGCUGCUGUAACUACAAAAGCAGCCAAAAAGCUUAAGCCGGUUAGAAAACCUGGCCCAACUAGCAAGUCUCACAGUGAGCCUGAGCACAUCAACUUUGAAGAUUAUGUCCCUGAAGCUGAUGAGUACUGUUUUCCAGGUGACUUAGGCAUAAGUGAUGAAGAGGAUGCACCAAGGCUGCCAUCUGGAAGGAAGAGUAGGAAGAAGCAGAAGAAGGAGAGGAGAUCGUAUGAUCCAAAAAGGCCUGAUGCACAUGAGCAGUUUUCAAUGCAUUUGUGCUUUGAAAAUGUAGUUGAGUUCAGAGAAGCACUUAGAAAUUUUCAUGUGAGGACUCUUAGGAAUUUUGAGUAUCACAGAAAUGAACCAACUAGGGUUAUUUCUUGGUGCUCUGAUAGAAAACAUGGUUGUGAGUUUUACAUAGUUGCCUCCAAGAUAGCUCGUGAGGCAACUUUCAGUAUCAAGAAGAUGAACCUAGAUCACACUUGUGGAGCAAGUGGGGAGAAAACAAAGGUGAUAGUCAGUUGGGUUGCUAAGGUUUGUGAGGAUACAGUCAGAUCCAACCCUGGAGCUGGUGUUGACAUAAUUAUCUCAUACACAAAGAAGAAGUUUGGUGUGCAUGUGCCUAAAAGCUUGGCAUAUAGGGCAAGGAAGCAAGCAGUUGAGGUUGUGCAAGGAGAUCACAAACUCCAGUAUCACAGAAUAAGGGACUACCUGCAGUGCGUGCUAGAUACUAACCCUGGCAGUAGGUGCAUAGUAACAACACAUGAGAACCCACUUAACCCAGCUCCUACCCCAAGGUUUCACUAUAUGUUUUACUACUUGUUUGCAUGCAAGGAGGGUUUUCUGAAUGGAUGCAUGCCAUUUAUAGGUAAGUAUUCAAAAAUUUAUAUGUUUUUUUAAACAUUGAUGUACUUAGGCACUCAUGUUAUCAUGUUAGCAGGUCUGGAUGGUUGCUUCAUCAAGCUAAGCACUGGUCAGCAGAUAUUGGCAGCUACAGGGAGGGAUGGCAACAAUAACAUCUUCCCAAUAGCUUUUGGUGUUGUUGAUAAGGAAGAGACAGACAGAUGGGCAUGGUUUCUCACACAGUUGAGAACAGUCAUUGGAACUGGCAAUAAGUUUGGCAAAUACACAAUUAUGUCUGACAGGCAGAAGAGGAGAGGAACUUAAGAAACAUUUAGACCAGGCUGCCUAUUCCUUUACCAAACAUGGACAUGAUUUAGGCAUGGAGAAUUUGAAAAAGGAAAGUUUAGAAGCAAGGGCACAGGAUCAACAAUUGUGGUGUCCCUUUGAAACCUAAGUUCCAGAUGAGGCUGAACAAGCACCAGGAAAAUAAAGCAAACUACUCUGAGGCUGGUUCUUCAAUGGUUGCAACUACACAAAGGCCACCAAGGGUACCUGCUGCCUCUGCACCUGCACCAAAUCCUCCUCCAACAACAAAUGAGUCAACACAGACAGCUUGUAGAUCAAGGAAGAGGGCAACACUAGCUACAACAUCAGCACCACCACCUCUCAAGAAGAGCAGGACCAACACCUCUUCUGCAACACUAGUACCACCUCCCAAGAAGAAGAACACAACUAUUUCUGGCAAUGGAUCAAGGUCUUCUCCAGCAAAGAACACCAGGUCAUCAAGGUCUUCUCCAGCAAAGAACACCAGGUCAUCAAGGUCUUCUCCAGCAAAGAACACCAGGUCAGCUGUUGCCAAUAGAGCUGGCAAUGGAUCUUUCAUUGCUCCUAGACAAUCUUCUACAAGUGCUGUGCAGGAGGGGUCAAAGAGGGUCAGGAAGCCAUCUGGGAGGCUGAAAGAUUACUUUUAUGCAAGUGGUAACUAGCUGAAGCCAAGUGCACUCCUAGACAAUCUGCUACAAGUGCACUGUUUGAUUUGGUUUGUAAUAACA